AGAAUGCCAAGGAUUGCCAGCAAUCACCAGAAGCUACAAGAGAAGCAUGGAACAGAUUCUCCCACAGAGAAUUCAGAUACUUGCCAAGACUUUUGGACUUGAUUUUGGACUUUUGGCUUUCAGAGCUAUGAAAGAAUAAAUUUGUUUCAAACCACCCAGCUCGUGAUAAUUUGUUAUGGCAGCCCAAGAAAAUUAAUGUAUCCAGCAUAUCCCAUUUUGAUAACAAAUGGCUUGUCUAAAGAUAAGCUCCAACUGCCACCCCUUAUCCAAUCUUAUCCAAUCUCUUCCAUCCUUGAGCAAGGGUUUCAGGAGAAAAAAGAAAAUUAUUAAAUGAGACAUCAUCAUUACUAUGAUUCUUACUGUCACAGCAUGAGUAAAGAAAGUAUUUCCAGCAAGGAUAAGAUCUGAUUGAGCAACACAUUUUGUCAGCUACACCUGUGCUGAAUUUGUUCACGUCUAACGUAUCCACUGGUGGCAUUGUGUUGAGAAUGAUUAUCAUCUCUCACUCGCUCAGAUGAUUUCAGUAGUCUACCAACAUAUCUCUCUUUCCCUCUUCUCAACACCUGGAGGAAUCC